rnacentral:rRNA from 1 species
CGUACGCACUGGCCCAACUGAUUGGUGGUGCUUGCACCUGAUUGACGAUGGAUUACCAGUGAGUGGCGGACGGGUGAGUAACACGUAGGUAACCUGCCCCGGAGCGGGGGAUAACAUUUGGAAACAGAUGCUAAUACCGCAUAACAACAAAAACCACAUGGCUUUUGUUUGAAAGAUGGCUUUGGCUAUCACUCUGGGAUGGACCUGCGGUGCAUUAGCUAGUUGGUAAGGUAACGGCUUACCAAGGCGAUGAUGCAUAGCCGAGUUGAGAGACUGAUCGGCCACAAUGGAACUGAGACACGGUCCAUACUCCUACGGGAGGCAGCAGUAGGGAAUCUUCCACAAUGGGCGCAAGCCUGAUGGAGCAACACCGCGUGAGUGAAGAAGGGUUUCGGCUCGUAAAACUCUGUUGUUGGAGAAGAACGUGCGUGAGAGUAACUGUUCACGCAGUGACGGUAUCCAACCAGAAAGUCACGGCUAACUACGUGCCAGCAGCCGCGGUAAUACGUAGGUGGCAAGCGUUAUCCGGAUUUAUUGGGCGUAAAGCGAGCGCAGGCGGUUGCUUAGGUCUGAUGUGAAAGCCUUCGGCUUAACCGAAGAAGUGCAUCGGAAACCGGGCGACUUGAGUGCAGAAGAGGACAGUGGAACUCCAUGUGUAGCGGUGGAAUGCGUAGAUAUAUGGAAGAACACCAGUGGCGAAGGCGGCUGUCUGGUCUGCAACUGACGCUGAGGCUCGAAAGCAUGGGUAGCGAACAGGAUUAGAUACCCUGGUAGUCCAUGCCGUAAACAAUGAGU